rnacentral:rRNA from 1 species
GCUUGCUCCUUGGGUGGCGAGUGGCGGACGGGUGAGGAAUACAUCGCAAUCUACUUUUUCGUGGGGGAUAACGUAAGGAAACUUACGCUAAUACCGCAUACGACCUACGGGUGAAAGCAGGGGACCUUCGGGCCUUGCGCGAUUGAAUGAGCCGAUGUCGGAUUAGCUAGUUGGCGGGGUAAAGGCCCACCAAGGCGACGAUCCGUAGCUGGUCUGAAAGGAUGAUCACCCACACUGGAACUGAGACACGGUCCACACUCCUACGGGAGGCAGCAGUGGGGAAUAUUGGACAAUGGGCGCAAGCCUGAUCCAGCCAUACCGCGUGGGUGAAGAAGGCCUUCGGGUUGUAAAGCCCUUUUGUUGGGAAAGAAAUCCAGCCGGCUAAUACCUGGUUGGGAUGACGGUACCCAAAAAAUAACCACCGGCUAACUUCGUGCCACCAGCCGCGGUAAUACGAAGGGUGCAAGCGUUACUCGUAAUUACUGGGCGUAGAGCGUGCGUAGGUGGUUGUUUAAGUCUGUUGUGAAAGCCCUGGGCUCAACCUGGGAACUGCAAUGGAAACUGGACAACUAGAGUGUGGUAGAGGGUAACGGAAUUCCCGGUGUAGCAGUGAAAUGCGUAUAGAUCGGGAGGAACAUCCAUGGCGAAGGCAGCUACCUGGACCAUCACUGACACUGAGGCACGAAAGCGUG